GGAAGGGAUAAGAGAUGAGUUAUCUGAGCAGAGUAUGGAUGGUGGCCAGGGUCGCAGUGGUGCAAGGCAGCACCCAUACGGACACUGAUCGGGGUUUCAAAUGGAACGCUGGUAUCAGAUCCUUCCACUUUGGUAAUAGAAGGUUCUCCGGCAAUAAUUCCUCCGAAUACAUGCCGUUAUACGACGUCUUUGGAUCCGAUGUUGGCCAUUUUAUAGGGAACUGUAACGGAGAGGAGAGGCGAAGACAAGCAGACGAGUCUCUUCAGAAAGCUAUGUAUCUGAGUUGCUGGGGCCAGAGUUAAAAUGAAGGCUUUUGGGAAUUCGAACUAUUUGGAUUCUGGUAGUGAGUUU